CCUCAGCAGAGCAAAGGAACAACACUCCAGCCUAAAUUUAGUGCCCCAUGUUUGUGAGCAAUCUGCAAUUAGCAAGCAAUGCAUCCACGUGCACAAGGGCAGCGGAGAAAGGGGGCUGUGCUGGGUGGAAAGCAGCAGCCCACGGCGAGCAGAAUGAAUGCGGCCACUUCAGCCUCCUCCAAGCUCCCGUGCCGUGUCCAUCACCGUGGUGCUCAUCACUGGAAGAUAACGAAGCUCUCCUACCACCACAGGCUAACGGAUUGGGGUUUUCUACUCUGCUCCUCCGUCCUUCCAUCAUAUUAUUCCAGCUCAGCAAGAAGCAGAAGAACAGUUUAUAAUUCAGGAGAAGGGCUGGGAUGUUUCCCCUCUUGUGGGAAAAAUAAACACGAGUGUUGGCUCUGGUUUCCUACCAACUCCUACUCGCUCCGAGCCUGGUGCGUCGGGAAUCAGAGUGCAAGUUAAUAAUAAAUAAGGGCACAAACGCUGCA
rnacentral:lncRNA from 1 species